CCUACGGGAGGCAGCAGUGAGGAAUAUUGGUCAAUGGACGCGAGUCUGAACCAGCCAAGUAGCGUGAAGGAUGACUGCCCUAUGGGUUGUAAACUUCUUUUAUAUGGGAAUAAAAUGUUUCACGUGUGGGAUUUUGUAUGUACCAUAUGAGUAAGGAUCGGCGAACUCCGUGCCAGCAGCCGCGGUACUACGGAGGAUGCGAGCGUUAUCCGGAUUUAUUGGGUUUAAAGGGAGCGUAGGUGGAUUGUUAAGUCAGUUGUGAAAGUUUGCGGCUCAACCGUAAAAUUGCAGUUGACACUGGCAGGCUUGAGUACAGUAGAGGUGGGUGGAAUUCGUGGUGUAGCGGUGAAAUGCGUAGAGAUCACGAAGAACUCCGAUUGCGAAGGCAGGUCACUGGACUGCAACUGACACUGAGGCUCGAAAGUGUGGGUAGCAAACAGGAUUAGAUACCCUAGUAGUC
rnacentral:rRNA from 1 species